rnacentral:rRNA from 1 species
UACGGAGGGGGCUAGCGUUGUUCGGAAUUAUUGGGCGUAAAGGGCGCGUAGGCGGCCGAAUAAGUCUGAUGCGAAAUCCCUCGGCUCAACCGGGGAACUGCAUUUGAAACUGUUCGGCUCGAGUCCGGGAGAGGGUAGUGGAAUUCCCAGUGUAGCGGUGAAAUGCGUAGAUAUUGGGAGGAACACCGGUGGCGAAGGCGGCUACCUGGACCGGUACUGACGCUGAGGCGCGAAAGCUAGGGUAGCAAACAGG